rnacentral:rRNA from 1 species
UCGAGAAUUUUUCUCAAUGGGCGAAAGCCUGAAGGAGCGACGCCGCGUGGGGGAUGAAGGGCUUCGGCUCGUAAACCCCUGUCAUUUGCGAACAAACCUUACGUUUUAACAGAGCGUGAGCUGAUUGUAGCGAAAGAGGAAGGGACGGCUAACUCUGUGCCAGCAGCCGCGGUAAUACAGAGGUCCCAAGCGUUGUUCGGAUUCACUGGGCGUAAAGGGUGCGUAGGUGGCGAGGUAAGUUUGAUGUGAAAUCUCCGGGCUUAACCCGGAAACUGCAUUGAAUACUAUCUUGCUUGAGGUUUGGAGGGGGGACUGGAAUUCUCGGUGUAGCAGUGAAAUGCGUAGAUAUCGAGAGGAACACCAGUGGCGAAGGCGAGUCCCUGGACAACACCUGACACUGAGGCACGAAAGCUAGGGGAGCAAACAGGAUUAGAUACCCCGGUAGUCC